rnacentral:lncRNA from 1 species
AUGUACACAUACACAACUCUGAUGUUCUGGUUUCUGACAAUUGUGGCAUUACUGGAAAUGAUGGAAUGGAGACCACCUGUCCAUGGCAGUGAAUCACCCAGGUGUUUUAGUGGACAAAGUCAUCCAAUGCCAGAAUGCAUCCUAGCCAGCUGGAUGACUACCAGAGGCUCCCUUACACCCUCCUGCAGUGAGGUAGUAACUGUGUUUGUUUCCUGUGGUAGCUGGGGUGGUCAGUCUGUGGGCAGCAGCCUUUGCCCAUGCAGGGAUGCUGAUUUGAACACGUCCAGCCUGCACAGGGCCUGUGUGGCACUGGACACCAGAGUGGUCACAGCUCCCCAGGCUGCAGGAGGGACCACAGGCACCAAGCUGGGUUGGCAGGGUGGCACUGGGGUGUCUAGUCUCAGGCAAGCUCUCUUUAUCUGCCCCUGGGGCCCUCUCAGUGCCCCCAGCCUGAGCUGGGACAUGCUCUGCCUUGGUUUGCAGCUCUGGGUGCUGGAGAUGCUCUGCUGGCCUGUGUCACGGCCAGGCUGGGCAGUGCAGCAGCUGGGCCCAGUCCCUCUGCCCUUCAGGGCUGAAAGCAGGCCGGCCAUGCAGCCAAGCCCCACUGCCCUGGCUGCCCUCAGGUACCAGCCACAGGCUGGCCCAAAGCAAGCAGAACAGGCUGCUUCAGGAGACACCUCUGCAGGACUGGCCUCGUGUCUGGUGAUGGUCCCAGGGAGGGGCAGAGACAAUGCUCUCUGGUGUCUGCCCUGCGUGUGGCCUGAGGCCGCUGUCACAGGGCUGUCAGCAGGCCCCUGGCAUGGGCACACAUGGUGUUACCAAGGCUGCAGUGCCAUGGACACAUGUGGGGCCAGUGUGGCGGGCAGCAGUGAGGGCCAGCUCCUUCCCCAGCCGCUGCCCACAGCUAGUGGGCUGUGCAGUGCUCACCUCCCUGCUGAGCUCCAGCCCCCAUGAGCCAGGAAAGGGGAACAGCCAGGAAAGGGGAACAGCCCUUCUCGUGCCAGCACACACUGGGCUCCCUGCAGCUCCCAAACAGCUGUCUCCUCUAGGGAUAAAGUGCUUUCACCUUGCCUUAGCUGCUUGGGAAGCAACUGCUUUGUCUCUGCCUCAAGCUCCCUGUGUUGCCCGAGUCUCAGAUGGAGGAGUGGUUAUGUUUACACAUACAGUACAAAAAUUAAAAGGCACAAAUAUACACAGAAUGCAGCAGAUAGUGAACAGCUCAUAAGAGUCCCUGAUGUUGGAAAAACAAGGAUGUUGGAGAGAUGGAGUGGAGCUCAGGCUAUGAUGGUCUUUGCUGUCUGUGGUCAUUACUCCCUGAGGUGACCCUUCUGCUUUGUGUCUGUUGUUCCGGGCUCUGCAGCCCCAUCCCGAGGAACCAUGCACAGGGUUGCACGGAGUGCUGACGGCUUGGCUGCUGACGAAGGGGAAAGUGGUGAACUGAGCUUACCACAGGCGUCAUGACUCCAUUUCUGGCUGGCAAGAGCAAAUAACUUAUGGGUGCCACAGUGCAGACCAGUGUCGGAUCUCAACCAGAAGAGUUUUAGCUGCUCAGAAGGGUGUCUUGUGGUUACUUGUGAAGUGAGGCAAACUUGUAGCCAUGGCCAGGCCCACUCUCUCCACAAGGCUGGUUUGAGUAUGACCAAGCUGUGCCUGCAGCUGAAGGCAGGGUCCCUUGCGGCACUGUGCUGCAAGAAAGGUCA